rnacentral:rRNA from 1 species
UACAGAGGAUGCAAGCGUUAUCCGGAAUGAUUGGGCGUAAAGCGUCUGUAGGUGGCUUUUUUAAGUCCGCCGUCAAAUCCCAGGGCUCAACUCUGGACAGGCGGUGGAAACUACCAAGCUGGAGUACGGUAGGGGCAGAGGGAAUUUCCGGUGGAGCGGUGAAAUGCGCAGAUAUCAGGAGGAACACCAAUUGCGAAGGCAGCUCGCUGGGACGUUACUGACGCUGAGACGCGAAAGCGUGGGGAGCAAACAGG